rnacentral:rRNA from 1 species
GUCUUAAUUGGGCGUUAAGUUGCAGGGUAUAGACCCGAAACCCGGUGAUCUAGCCAUGGGCAGGUUGAAGGUUGGGUAACACUAACUGGAGGACCGAACCGACUAAUGUUGAAAAAUUAGCGGAUGACCUGUGGCUGGGGGUGAAAGGCCAAUCAAACCGGGAGAUAGCUGGUUCUCCCCGAAAGCUAUUUAGGUAGCGCCUCGUGAAUUCAUCUCCGGGGGUAGAGCACUGUUUCGGCUAGGGGGCCAUCCCGGCUUACCAACCCGAUGCAAACUGCGAAUACCGGAGAAUGUUAUCACGGGAGACACACGGCGGGUGCUAACGUCCGUCGUGAAGAGGGAAACAACCCAGACCGCCAGCUAAGGUCCCAAAGUCAUGGUUAAGUGGGAAACGAUGUGGGAAGGCCCAGACAGCCAGGAUGUUGGCUUAGAAGCAGCCAUCAUUUAAAGAAAGCGUAAUAGCUCACUGGUCGAGUCGGCCUGCGCGGAAGAUGUAACGGGGCUAAACCAUGCACCGAAGCUGCGGCAGCGACGCUGAUGCGUUGUUGGGUAGGGGAGCGUUCUGUAAGCCUGCGAAGGUGGCCUGUGAGGGUUGCUGGAGGUAUCAGAAGUGCGAAUGCUGACAUAAGUAACGAUAAAGCGGGUGAAAAGCCCGCUCGCCGGAAGACCAAGGGUUCCUGUCCAACGUUAAUCGGGGCAGGGUGAGUCGACCCCUAAGGCGAGGCCGAAAGGCGUAGUCGAUGGGAAACGGGUUAAUAUUCCCGUACUUGGUGUUACUGCGAAGGGGGGACGGAGAAGGCUAUGUUGGCCGGGCGACGGUU